rnacentral:lncRNA from 1 species
UUUAUCCAAAUUUUCCACCUUCUAUCCCCUUUUCUCCCCACCUUCUAUCCACUUUUCCACCUUUUAUCCACUUGCUUCCCACUUUUUCCACCUUUUAUCCCCCUUUUUCCAUCUUUCCUCCAUCUUCUACCCACUUUUUUCCAUAUUUCUUCCACCUUUUAUCCCUUUUUCCACCUUUUACUCACUCUUUUCCACUUUUUCCCUACUUUUUUCCACCUUUCUUCCACCUUUUAUCCACCCUUUCCCCUUCCUCCACCUUUUAUCCACUUUUUUCUUCCCACCUUUCCUGGACUUUUUAUCCACUUUUCUCCCAACUUUUACCCAUUUUUUUCAACCUUUCAUCCACCUUUUAUCCAUUUUCACCUUUUAUCCACUUUUCCCAUCCUUUAUCCAUCUUUUCUCACCCUUUAUCCACUUUUAUCCACUUUUCCCACCCUUUAUCCACUUUUAUCCACCUUUCCUCCACUUUUCCCACCUUUUAUCCACUUUUUCCCCCUUUCCCCACCUUUUAUCCACUUUUUACCCUUCCUCCACCUUUUAUACACUUUUUUCUUCCCACCUUUCCUCCACCCUUUAUCCACUUUUUCCCACCUUCUAUCCACUUUUCCCCAACUUUUAUCCACUUUUCCCACCUUAUAUCCAAUUUUUCCACUUUUUCCACCCUUUAUCCACUUUUUCCACCUUUCAACCACUUUUUUCCACCCCUUGUUCACCUUUUAGCCACUUUCCCCACUCUUUAUCCACUUUUUUCCACCCUUUGUCCACUUUUUAUCCACUUUUCCCCACUCUUUAUCCACUUUUUUCCACCCUUUAUCCACUUUUUUCCACCUUUUUUCCCCUUUUUUAUCCACUUUUUCCACGCUUUGUCCACUUUUCCCACCUUUCAUCCCUUUUUUUCCACCUUUUGUCCACCUUUUAUCCACUUUUCCCACCCUUUAUCCACUUUUUUCCACCUUUUACCCCCUUUUUAUCCACUUUUUCCACCUUUUAUCCACCUUUUUAUCCACUUUGUCCACCCUUUGUCCCCUUUUGAUCCACCUUCCCCACCCUUCCUCCACUUCCCUUCCCUCUUCAUCCUUUUUAUUAUUACUACUUUCAUUUUUUUAUUAUUUUUUUUCCAACUCCCCCUCCCUCCUCCCUUUCCCUUCCCCCUCCCCUCUAUCCCCCAUCCCACCUUUCCCCCACCCUUCAUCCACUUUUUUCCACCUUUUAUCCACUUUUUACCCACUUUCCCCACCCUUUAUCCACUUUCCCCACCUUUCAACCACUUUUUUCCACACUUUACCCACCUUUUAUCCACUUUUCCCACCCUUUAUCCACUUUUUAUCCACUUUCCCCUCCCUUUAUCCACCUUUUAUCCACUUUUUCCACCCUUUGUUCACCUUUUAGCCACUUUUCCCACCCUUCAUCCACUUUUUUCCACCCUUUAUCCCCUUUUCCCCACCUUUUAUCCACUUUUUUCCACCCUUUAUCUACUUUUUAUCCACUUUCCCCACCCUUUAUCCACUUUUCCCCACCUUUUAUCCAUUUUUUCCACCCUUUGUUCAUCUUUUAGCCACUUUUUUCCACCCUUUAUCCACUUUUUAUCCACUUUUUCCACCCUUUGUCUGCUUUUCCCACCCUUUAUCCACCUUUUAUCUGCUUUUCCGACUUUUUAUCCACUUUCUUCCACCCUUUAUCCACUUUUUUCUACCUUUUAUCCCCUUUUUAUCCACUUUCCCCACCCUCUAUCCACUUUCCCCAUCUUUCAACCACUUUUUUCCACCCUUUGUUCACUUUUUAUCCACUUUUCCCAUCCUUUAUCCACUUUUCCCACCCUUUAUCCACCUUUUAUCUGCUUUUCCCACUUUUUAUCCACUUUUUUCCACCCUUUGUCCACCUUUUAUCCACUUUUCCCCACCUUUUAUCCACUUUUUCCACCCUUUGUUCCCCUUUUAGCCACUUUUCCCACCCUUUAUCCACUUUUUUCCACCCUUUGUCCACUUUUUCCACCCUUUGUCCACUUUUUCCCACCUUUUAUCCCCUUUUUAUCCCCUUUUCCCACCCUUUAUCCACCUUUUAUCUGCUUUUCCCACUUUUUAUCCACUUUUUUCCACCUUUUUUCCCCUUUUUUAUCCACUUUUUCCACGCUUUGUCCACUUUUCCCACCUUUCAUCCCUUUUUUUCCACCUUUUGUCCACCUUUUAUCCACUUUUCCCACCCUUUAUCCACUUUUUUCCACCUUUUACCCCCUUUUUAUCCACUUUUUCCACCUUUUAUCCCUUUUUUUCACAGGCAUUCCAGCAACAGAUAAUGACCACCAUGACCACUGAACAGAAAUGAGAAGA